rnacentral:lncRNA from 1 species
AGAAAAGCGUCUUCUAAUAAAUCAUGCUAAUGAAAAUAACGUAACUGGGUUUUUUUUUUUUUUUAUUGAAACUUGAUGUAAACUAAAUUCAGCUCAAAUCGAGUUGUAUAUGGCAGCGAUAAUGACAGUUAAUAAUUACUAUAGAACAGGGUGGUAGAAUAACACGCGCGCGCCCGCGCUCACUUUGUAAUCCAAUCUGCGACGUUUCCUAAAGGCCUCCCGUCCCAGCAGAGAUGCGCCUGGUACGUUUUGAAAAAUCUCAUAGAGACAGGAGGAAAAACAGCGUAAGACGCGAUGCAUCACAGAAAAGAACGUGGGAGGCUCAUGAUGCCCGCAGCCUUCGCGAGGCUAUGCCUCGGGGCGUCGAGGUGAGCCAUUAUAUUUGCUCCCCCUCCGCCUUACCAGGCGCUGCCAUCCAUCGCGAUGGAGCACGCUGGACCAUGUCAGUAGGUGGCAGCUGUCCAGGAAGGUGCGCACUCGCCCGGGUGGCUUCGCAGAAGAACCCCGGACCCCCGUCGACCCGGAGACCCGACCCUAACCCUAACCCCGCCUCGAAGAGCCUGUGGCAUCGGAGGGAGACGGCCACCUUUCCGAACACGUUCUCCCACAGCUCUCACGAUCCUAAAGAAUCUCACAACGCCCCCAAAACAACAGAAAAUUAUUGGACCUUAUAACUGCGCACGUCUACAGCCAGUAAAACGCAUAUUUACGGAUAUUGUCGCUAAAACUGUUACGUUCGAACACUUUCUUCCACUUUUACACCUUAGACACGUUCACGUCAUUUUUUUAGCAAAAGCUUAAGAUUUUAUACUAUGCCAAGUAUUUGUUACUGUGAAUUGCAUUUAAAAAGGCAGAAAAGUUUUUUGACCGACCGCUAUAACCAGCAGAAGUUCAUAUAUGUGUUCAACGUGUAGGUUUGACGUUAUUUCUCCAGCCUUAAGUUAUGGGACGCAGUGUGGGGCUUGGAUCGGUACCGGGUGAUGUGCGACGGAGCCCGGCCGAUCCCAAAACCGCACCCAACGUACCCAGCGCCGUACACUUCGAAGUUGCGUUUCAAGGAUGCGCUUCUCAUCGUGAUCCCAUCGGGAUUUCCAGAGAUUCUUAACACCGUCAAUCGACCGCAGCCGGACCCAAGAAGCACAGAUUCGAGCCGAAGCCGAGAAAACUUCCCAUAAUCUCUCGCGUCGGCCGUGAGCAGACGGGCAGGCGCUCUUCGGGGUCACCGCGCUUCGACCCCGGCUCCUUGAACCAGCAAGACCGAGUCGUACGAAGACGGGCAAAACGACGAUGGGACUUUGAGAAGGAAGCAAACGCGUUCGAGAUAUCGAUUACCUACGAUUCCUAACAGAUCUGCGCAGACAAUCCAAGAAAACAGCGCAACCAACCCUUCUGCCCGAUUUCGAUCGCAUACGGCUGCUCUUUCAUUCUGUUUUUAAUAAAAGAAAUUACAUGCCCA